CAAAGGUGGGACGGAAGCGCGUCAUCGGCGGACAGAAGGCAGAACGGAAGCGCGUCAUCGUCGAGGCUCUCAUUGCUCCCAGGACCUCCGCAAGCAAGUUUCCAACAAGCCCUGCCCACGUGUGGUUUCCCGUGUGACUGACCACGGACCGAGGAGAGCUGGGUCCAUGCUGGGCACGAGGGACCAUGGGGCAUGCUUUUGGCUGGUGCUGCCAACAGGCCUCCUUCCAGGGCAGAGUCACUGUCUGUGUUAAAUGUUUGCCCGGAAGCCAGCCACGUUUCCAACACCGGGCACAGUGACUCUGAGAUCAACACUAAAAAAUAUCAUUUCCAAAAGAAUUCAAAUUCCCCCAGGAGAGAAGCUACAGAAAUCAUAACCACUGUGUGGCCGUGCGGCUCAGAGCAUGUGACAGCUGGUGAUGAGUGUCAUCUGCAUUGCCACCCGGCGCAGCUAUAAAAUAUUAGUUGACAACCACACCAGACGUGCCACCUUGAGGAAAUGCAGAAUUGAGAAGGAUCCGGGCAGGCUCUGUUUUUUAACUGAGUCAGUGCCGUGGAAAAGAACAUUGGUAAAUAUCCGGGAGAUGCACUUAGAUCAGAAGUAAGUAUUUCUCCUUGUAUGGGUCACAUGACAACCCCAAUGCAGAGGCUGGAAGCGGCUUUGCAAAGAUGGGGAAAGAUGAGAACUGCAGUGUUCAGAAGCAAAAUCCUCAAUGUUGCCAACUCUCAGAAUGUGAGACGCCUUUUAUACUGUGUGAGCUUACUUCCCACUGGCCUUUGCCAAGGUAUGCACUUAGUGUUUCCCUACAUACAGAAAUAAUAUCUGACCUCACCUACCUUUCAGGAGCUUCCUACAUAUAAUCAGAUAUGGUCAAUUCUCAUUAUCUGCGGAUCCUUUAUUUGCAAAUGUGCCUAGUCUCUAAAAUUUAUCUGUAACCCCAAAAUCAAUACUUGUGGCGCUUUUGCAGUCGGUGGAGGACAGGCACAGAGCAGCAGAAAAUGAGUCACCAACGCUCUCGCUCCCAGCUGAGGCCACGCAGGUGACACAUGGCCUUCUCUUAGCUGUCAGACUCCAAACAAGUGUCCUUUUCCCAUCUGUUUAGUGCCGUUGCAGACUUCGCUGUUUAAAACCUCCCGAGUGCGGUGCUGGGGCACUGCCUGGUGUAGAGAAAACACGCGUGUAGAGAAGCUUUGUUCAGAACAAGCUAUGGCGCUGCUGGCCCCGAGUUCAAUGCUAAUGAAUCAACAAUAAAUACUAAAUAAAGCAUCUUCAAACAAAAACACACAUUAAACAAAAUUAUGUAUUGAAUGGCUGAUGAAACUGUUGCUCUCAGGAACCUGACCUUGUAUUUCCCCUAGGAGCAAUGGCUCCAGCUUCACUAUUUCUGUGUUGGCUACAACUUCGUAGAGCAAAAUUACCCCCAUAAUAAUUGCUG
rnacentral:lncRNA from 1 species